ACUUCCAGAAGCCCAGCAGAGGGCUGAGCAAAAGCUGCAGACUGACACACAUCUCCUCUCUCAUCAAUUCAGAUUUUGAUUCUGGGAACAAGGAAGAGCCUCCAUGCCCAGGAGACACCAGACAAAGCAGGGACAGAACCCAAGACAGCCUAGUUCCCAGCCUUAAAAAAAAAUUCACACUGGAGAAUUCUCCACCUCUUGCCAUUCUCCACCCUUCAGCCCCUGCAGAGGAUCCUGCACUCCACGGAUAGGGGAUGGAGAAGUUGGGCCUCAGAAAAACAGACAUAAAGGGAGAAGGACUGGGGUUGGGGGGCUCCCCCACCCUCCGCCUGAGCGCAGAGGACCCUUAGGUUGCAGGCUGCGGCUGUGGGUCUGGACCGGCCUCGAUCUUCCAGGGAAGGAGCUCUUUCUCCGCAGCCUCGGGCUUCAGAGGCAACAGACAGCCUCUCUCUCUACCUCACAAGUGUCACAACUGCCAAAGCAGAGAGAGCGCCUUCUCUAGCCCAGAGGCCCCUUCCUCUCAACACACUUCGUAACAGCCCCCUGCAACUCCUGGGGGCACCCUACCUCUGAGUCCCAUCUCCCAGCCCUAAGCACUUCCACUCAGAAAUUUUUCUCUCGGAGCGGGAGACCCUCCGACCCCAGGAGUCCCUCGCGGCUCUCGGGGGCCGCUACCGCCGCCCUUGGUACAGGAACCCACCGUCCCCGAACCGCCGCCGGCUCGCAGUGGCCCGUCCCCGCCCUGCCCGGCCGGCCGCGCCCGCCCAACUUGAAGCGAGCCGAGCACCUCCCGCCGCGGCCUCCCGCAGCCAAACUUCCCGGGCCCGCGGCCGCGUCCAGUCCGGGGCCGGCCGGGCUCCCCUCCCACGGACCCCCAGCCUGCCGGCCGGAGCCAGGCCUCACCUGGUGCCCUCCCCGCCGUGGGGGAGCUGGGGGGCGGUGGCAGCGGCUCGGGGCUGGAGAAGGAAGUGAGAGCUGGAGGCCGGAGGAAGUGGGGGGGGCGGGCCGGCCGGCGGGGCGGGGCGGGGCGCGGGGGCGGGGCGGGGCGGGGCUGGGCUCGACAAGGAAGUCCGCCGGCCGGUUCCCUCCCCGCCCUGGUCGCCCCCACCGGGUGGGUCCUCGGUCGGGUACUGGGCUCCCCCACCCCAGCCCUUCACCUCUGAGGCCCUUAAGGUCAGUCCUCCCAGUCCCCUUCUUGCCACCUCCACCCCAGCAGAGGCCCUAGCCUAGGCGCUUGGCUUUUGUCCCCCCUCCCCGUAUCUCGCCCCCACCAACCCCCGCGGUAAGAUGCUGUGAACAGGCGCCCCUAGGCCUGGUACCUUCAGUC